GUUCAGACACACACAGAGGAGACAGAGACAGAGCAGUGAUGGUUCAGUCUGGACACAUUCAAAUGUGUGUGUUUUGGAUUCUGCUGCCUCAGUUUGCAGCAGCAGUGAGCAGUCGGACUUCAUCCUACUUCACUGUCAGAGUUGGAGAUGACGUCACUUUGCCCUGUGAAAAUGUGAUCAAACAUGAACCCAACUGUGGCAGCAACAACUGGCUCUACAGUACACCAAAACAGAGUGAAACAGUGGAGCUGGUUAAUCUUGGAAAGAUUUGUGAAUCGUCCAAAUCAGACAGACUGAGUCUGACAGCAGACUGUUCUCUGCGUAUAGAGCGGGUCACAGAGCAGGAUGCUGGUCUGUACACCUGCAGACAGUUCAGAUCAGGACAACAAGGUUCAGACCAUGCAGUUCAUCUGUCUGUGAUUGACAUAACUGAACAGACUGACACUGAUAAGGUGACUUUAAACUGCUCUGUGCUUACAUUUGGAGACUGUAGACACACAGUGGAGUGGCUGAUAAAGAGUACCAGAAACAUAAAGAUAAGUCAGUCUAACUGCCGAAGCUCUGUAUCCAUUGACAGUGAUAGGAAGGAUGAAUCCAUUACAUGUGAAGUUACAGACAACAACAACAACGUGCUGCUGUGCAGCUCAGAACCUCAGACACCAUGUGAGAGACAACCAAGUGUGGACACAAAAACAACAACAACAUUGGCUACAACUCCAUCAACACAAAUGACUAAAAACAACAAACAAAUGGAUGAAAACUUCAACAAGACUGCAACCAGCGACCCCUCAACACAAUCA
ensembl:lncRNA